AGCAGCGUAACUUAGUGGAAAGAGCGCGGGCUGACGACUCGAGGGCCCCGGGUUCUAAUCCCAGCUCUGCCA
rnacentral:tRNA from 1 species